GCGGGGGCUCCGUCCCAGGCGCUCGGGUGGGAGCCUGGACGCGGGCGGGAGGAUGUCUGACUCAGAGCUGCAUCCUCUGAGGCAGACACACUUCACGUCGGUCCGCUCCUCCCGCCCUCCCCGACUUCCUCCUCACGUCCAGCAUUACUCUCAACACACCUUUUUAAAUCUCAACCCGAGGAGUGAAUUUUCGCGACAAGGGAACGAGAGGAGCAGUGAAUGAGUCUGGUUUCCCCUCUAGGGAAUGGCACUUACAGGGAGAGCAGGGCGCUUGGCUGGGGCUGCUCGCUCGGGUUCUGCCUGUUGUUGCGCGAAAUGGCGGCUGGCGUCUUGGUGGGUUUGGUUGUCGGUUUUUUUGUGUAGGUUUUUUUUUCCCUUCCCCUCCUAUUCCCCUCCCCCCACUUCUGCCUCGGCCGCGUCUCCGCAGCGAACCGCGGCAGAGACUGAGUCAGGAGGGGGGCGGGAGCUUUGCGGAGGCCAAUAGCCGGGCUGGCUGGGCUGCCCCGGCGUGCUCUGAUUGGCUGGUGCUGACAUCAUCCUGCAGCAGGGGCAGCCGCAGCUGGGCAGGGUUGGGGAGCUGUAGGGGGAGGCUGGUGCAAAGGGAGAAAACGGGCGCCAUGAUCCCAGCGCGAGGGAGGACUUCACGGGCAGGGCAUCCCUGAAGACCUCCUGAAAAGGAAAGCGGGAAAAGGCCGUGGCUUCCCCUUUUCAAAAAACGCUGGGGCUGUGAGGAGAGGCGCGGGGGAAGAGCGAGAGAGGAGCAACUUGCGCCUGCAUUUGUAACUGCGUCAGUACAAGAUGGCGCAGGGUCUCCCUGGAGAGGGAAGGGAGUUGCACGUCCGCCGGAGGUCAUGUGACCGCGUUGCAUUCUUGCGGGGUUUGGCUACAGACCAAGCUGGCUAAGGCGGCGGCGGCGGCUGCUGCCGCCCGGGAGAGUCCGUGCUUCCCUUCCCUUCCCCUCCCCCUCCCUGCACAAUACGGUCGUUGCCGCGCUGAUUCCCUUUUCCCUUCCCCCAUUAACCUUAUGCACGAGGGUGUAGCUGCUGCCGAGGAAGCUUCUCGCUUUUUUCUCUCCACCCCUCUCCAGGGUGUAGCUGCUCCUGGCGAAGCUUUCCAUUCCGCCCCCUCUCUGCCUAAGGCUUUACCUAGGGCAAGGGAAAGCUGCCGCUGGGCACCUGCUUGCUCCGCCCGAGCGCGGAGGCAGCGGUGCGCGCUCCCGCCCGCGGCCUUUGCUGCUGCCGGUUUUACUAACGCAAAUCCCACUUCAGUUUUCUCUCUCGGCUUCCCUCCUUUUAUGUAUAAGAGCACUUAUUUAUGUGCAAGUUGGCUUCUUCGGGCUAAUUUACGGAAAGAUUCAGUUUAAAUGAUUCCAUUAAAACAGCUGAGGAAAAUGUA